rnacentral:rRNA from 1 species
UACGGGGGGGGCAAGCGUUGUUCGGAAUUACUGGGCGUAAAGGGCUCGUAGGUGGCCAACUAAGUCGGACGUGAAAUCCCUCAGCUUAACUGGGGAACUGCGUCCGAUACUGGAUGGCUUGAGUUUGGGAGAGGGAUGCGGAAUUCCAGGUGUAGCGGUGAAAUGCGUAGAUAUCUGGGGGAACACCGGUGGCGAAGGCGGCAUCCUGGACCAACACUGACACUGAGGAGCGAAAGCCAGGGGAGCAAACAGG